GAGGAUAUAGCUCAGUGGCAGAGCAAAUGCUUAGCAUGCACGAGGCCCUGGGUUCAAUCCCCAGUACCUCCA
rfam:Camelus ferus unplaced genomic scaffold scaffold2349, whole genome shotgun sequence.